rnacentral:misc_RNA from 1 species
GAAAUGCGAUAAGUAGUGUGAAUUGCAGAAUUCAGUGAAUCAUCGAAUCUUUGAACGCACAUUGCGCUUCCUGGUAUUCCGGGGAGCAUGCUCGUUUCAGAAUCAUUUAAAACUCACAAGCCUCUUGCAGUAUUUUAUGCUGCAUUGGGGUGCGUGGAUAUGAGCGUCAUUGGGCCAGGAAACUUUAAACGCUUCUCGCCCAAUCGCUUUAAAAUGAUUUUGUACGCAACCCUCUUUGCCUUUCUUGUCUAGGGGCUGCCAACAGUGCGACAAUUACUCACACUUUUCGGCUGGCAACUACGAGUUAGACAAACAUAGAGGGUACAAGUAUUUCUACCUCCAAAACACAAGGCAUCGUUGGCGCAAGCCCUCUGCUUUGAAACUUGGUCUGAAAUCGAGC